GUGCUUGCUUCGGCAGCACAUAUACCAAGGUUGAAAUGAUGCAGAGAUUAGCAUGGCCCCUGUGCAAGGAUGACAUGCAAAUUCAUGAAGUGUUCCAUAUUAAA